rnacentral:rRNA from 1 species
AGUGAACGCUGGCGGUAGGCCUAACACAUGCGAGUCGAACGGCAGCACAGUAAGAGCUUGCUCUUACGGGUGGCGAGUGGCGGACGGGUGAGGAAUACAUCGGAAUCUACUUUUUCGUGGGGGAUAACGUAGGGAAACUUACGCUACUACCGCAUACGACCUACGGGUGAAAGCAGGGGAUCUUCGGACCUUGCGCGAUUGAAUGAGCCGAUGUCGGAUUAGCUAGUUGGCGGGGUAAAGGCCCACCAAGGCGACGAUCCGUAGCUGGUCUGAGAGGAUGAUCAGCCACACUGGAACUGAGACACGGUCCAGACUCCUACGGGAGGCAGCAGUAGGGAAUAUUGGGCAAUGGGCGCAAGCCUGAUCCAGCAAUACCGCGUGAGUGAAGAAGGCCUUCGGGUUGUAAAGCCCUGUUGUUGGGAAAGAAAAGCAGCAGGUUAAUACCCCGCUGUUCUGACGGUACCCAAAGAAUAAGCACCGGCUAACUUCGUG